rnacentral:rRNA from 1 species
UACAGAGGUCUCAAGCGUUGUUCGGAAUCACUGGGCGUAAAGGGUGCGCAGGCUGCGCCGUAAGUCAGAUGUGAAAGCCCCGGGCUCAACCCGGGAAUUGCAUCCGAUACUGCGGUGCUUGAGAACUGAAGAGGAGUCUAGAAUUCUCGGUGUAGCAGUGAAAUGCGUAGAUAUCGAGAGGAAUACCAAAGGCGAAGGCAGGACUCUGGGCAGUUUCUGACGCUGAGGCACGAAGGCCAGGGGAGCAAACGGG